rfam:Stegodyphus mimosarum contig100947, whole genome shotgun sequence.
GCUUUCGUAGUGUAACGAUAGCACACUCAGCGCGCAUUUGAAAGGCCCAGGUUCGAGUCCCGGCGAGGGCA